rnacentral:rRNA from 1 species
UGGGGAAUAUUGCACAAUGGGCGCAAGCCUGAUGCAGCCAUGCCGCGUGUAUGAAGAAGGCCUUCGGGUUGUAAAGUACUUUCAGUCGGGAGGAAGGUGGUAAGGUUAAUAACCUUGGCAAUUGACGUUACCGACAGAAGAAGCACCGGCUAACUCCGUGCCAGCAGCCGCGGUAAUACGGAGGGUGCAAGCGUUAAUCGGAAUUACUGGGCGUAAAGUGCACGCAGGCGGUUGAUUGAGUCAGAUGUGAAAUCCCCGGGCUUAACCCGGGAAUUGCAUCUGAUACUGGUCAGCUAGAGUCUUGUAGAGGGGGGUAGAAUUCCAUGUGUAGCGGUGAAAUGCGUAGAGAUGUGGAGGAAUACCGGUGGCGAAGGCGGCCCCCUGGACGAAGACUGACGCUCAGGUGCGAAAGCGUGGGGAGCAAACAGG